GAUGAAGAACGCAGCGAAAUGCGAUAAGUAAUGUGAAUUGCAGAAUUCAGUGAAUCAUCGAAUCUUUGAACGCACCUUGCGCUCCCUGGUAUUCCGGGGAGCACGCCUGUUCGAGUGUCGCGAAAUUCUUCAAGCCUUGGAUGGAUUUUUUUUUGUCUGUCCUUGGGCUUGGUUGUUGGGCUCUGCCGUGUCCUUCAUUGGGACGGCUGGCCUUAAAAGCAUUAGCCGAUCCUCGUGUGGUACUGGUUCUACUCAGCGUGAUAACAAUCUGAUCGUUGAGGACAUCUUCUGGAUGGCCAGUCAUCAUUUGGGUUGCUUCUAAACCGGUUUCGCGGAUUGCUCAAUCUGUGUGCCACUUUUCAGCUUUGACCUCGAAUCAGGUGGGACUACCCGCUGAACUUAAGCAUAUCAAUAAGCGGAGGA
rnacentral:misc_RNA from 1 species